rnacentral:rRNA from 1 species
GACGAACGCUGGCGGCGUGCUUAACACAUGCAAGUCGAACGGUGAAGCUCCAGCUUGCUGGAGUGGAUCAGUUGCGAACGGGUGAGUAACACGUGAGCAACCUGCCCCUGACUCUGGAAUAAGCGCUGGAAACGGCGUCUAAUACUGGAUACGAGAAGGGUCCGCAUGGGCACUUUCUGGAAAGUUUUUCGGUUGGGGAUGGGCUCGCGGCCUAUCAGCUUGUUGGUGAGGUAAUGGCUCACCAAGGCGACGACGGGUAGCCGGCCUGAGAGGGCGAGCGGCCACACUGGGACUGAGACACGGCCCAGACUCCUACGGGAGGCAGCAGUGGGGAAUAGUGCACAAUGGGCGAAAGCCUGAUGCAGCGACGCCGCGUGAGGGAUGACUGCCUUCGGGUUGUAAACCUCUUUCAGCAGGGAAGAAGCGAAAGUGACGGUACCUGCAGAAGAAGCACCGGCUAACUACGUG